GCCAGGCAGGGGAGCGUCUCCUGUGAGUCCUCUCUGAAGUGGAUGGAUGCUGGCUCCAGACAUCCAGGAGCCGACAGAGUGCGCCGACAGGUUGACGCUUCAUGCUUUGCUGUUGUGGCCCUGUGACAGCAUCGCUGGCCACACAGGGCACUGCUAACCAGUGCACAACCUUUGAGGCUCUAGUCCAGAGAUGCUCCAUGAAAAGAGCUUGAAAGUUCGA
rnacentral:lncRNA from 1 species